UACGUAGGGUGCAAGCGUUGUCCGGAAUUAUUGGGCGUAAAGGGCUCGUAGGCGGUCCGUCACGUCGGGCGUGAAAACUUGGGGCUUAACCCCAAGCCUGCUUCCGAUACGGGCGGACUAGAGGUAGGCAGGGGAGAACGGAAUUCCUGGUGUAGCGGUGAAAUGCGCAGAUAUCAGGAGGAACACCGGUGGCGAAGGCGGUUCUCUGGGCCUUACCUGACGCUGAGGAGCGAAAUCAUGGGGAGCGAACAGG
rnacentral:rRNA from 1 species